rnacentral:rRNA from 1 species
UACAGAGGGUGCGAGCGUUAAUCGGAAUUACUGGGCGUAAAGGGUGUGUAGGUGGUUGUAUAAGUUAGAUGUGAAAGCCCCGGGCUCAACCUGGGAACUGCGUUUAAGACUGUAUGACUUGAGUAUUGUAGAGGAUAGUGGAAUUUCCAGUGUAGCGGUGAAAUGCGUAGAUAUUGGAAGGAACACCAGUGGCGAAGGCGACUAUCUGGACAGAUACUGACACUGAGACACGAAAGCGUGGGGAGCAAACAGG